rnacentral:misc_RNA from 1 species
GAUGAAGAACGUAGCAAAAUGCGAUAAGUAAUGUGAAUUGCAGAAUUCAGUGAAUCAUCGAAUCUUUGAACGCACAUUGCGCCCGCCAGUAUUCUGGCGGGCAUGCCUGUUCGAGCGUCAUUUCAACCCUCAAGCACAGCUUGGUGUUGGGACUCGCGUUAAUUCGCGUUCCCCAAAUUGAUUGGCGGUCACGUCGAGCUUCCAUAGCGUAGUAGUAAAACCCUCGUUACUGGUNNNNGUCGCGGCCACGCCGUUAAACCCCAACUUCUGAAUGUUGACCUCGGAUCAGGUAGGAAUACCCGCUGAACUUAAGCAUAUCAAUAAGCGGAGGA